GACGAACGCUGGCGGCGUGCCUAAUACAUGCCAGUCGAACGCAUUUUCUUUCACCGUAGCUUGCUACACCGAAAGAAAAUGAGUGGCGAACGGGUGAGUAACACGUGGGUAACCUGCCCAUCAGCGGGGGAUAACACUUGGAAACAGGUGCUAAUACCGCAUAAUUCCAUUUCCCGCAUGGUAGAUGGAUAAAGGGCGCUUUGGCUCCCCGGUGGAUGGGCCCCGCGGUGCAUUAGCUAGUUGGUGGGGUAACGGCCUACCAAGGCUGCGAUGCAUAGCCGACCUGAGAGGGUGAUCGGCCACACUGGGACUGAGACACGGCCCAGACUCCUACGGGAGGCAGCAGUAGGGAAUCUUCGGCAAUGGACACAAGUCUGACCGAGCAACGCCGCGUGAGUGAAGAAGGUUUUCGGAUCGUAAAACUCUGUUGUUAGAGAAGAACAAGGAUGAGAGUGGAAAGUUCAUCCCUUGACGGUAUCUAACCAGAAAGCCACGGCUAACUACGUG
rnacentral:rRNA from 1 species